rnacentral:rRNA from 1 species
UACAGAGGUCUCAAGCGUUGUUCGGAUUCAUUGGGCGUAAAGGGUGCGUAGGCGGCGCGGUAAGUCGGGUGUGAAAUCUCGGAGCUUAACUCCGAAACUGCAUUCGAUACUGCCGUGCUUGAGGACUGGAGAGGAGACUGGAAUUUACGGUGUAAGCGGUGAAAUGCGUAGAGAUCAUGAGGAAGACCAGUGGCGAAGGCGGGUCUCUGGACAGUUCCUGACACUGAGGCACGAAGGCCAGGGGAGCAAACGGG